AUUGAACGCUGGCGGCAUGCCUUACACAUGCAAGUCGAACGGCAGCACGGGAGUAAUCCUGGUGGCGAGUGGCGAACGGGUGAGUAAUAUAUCGGAACGUGCCCAGUCGUGGGGGAUAACGCAGCGAAAGCUGUGCUAAUACCGCAUACGAUCUCUGGAUGAAAGCGGGGGACCGUAAGGCCUCGCGCGAUUGGAGCGGCCGAUAUCAGAUUAGCUAGUUGGUGGGGUAAAGGCCCACCAAGGCGACGAUCUGUAGCUGGUCUGAGAGGACGACCAGCCACACUGGAACUGAGACACGGUACAGACUCCUACGGGAGGCAGCAGUGGGGAAUUUUGGACAAUGGGCGCAAGCCUGAUUCAGCAAUGCCGCGUGCAGGAUGAAGGCCUUCGGGUUGUAAACUGCUUUUGUACGGAACGAAACGGCGAGCUCUAAUAAAGUUUGCUAAUGACGGUACCGUAAGAAUAAGCACCGGCUAACUCUGUGCCAGCCGCCGCCGUAA
rnacentral:rRNA from 1 species